CCUGUUGAUUAGAGAGGGGAUGAAAUUUAUGUGCACGCAUGCAAGAAGGCAGACUUGUUUAUAUUCUUGGAAAUAGGGUAUAUAUCUAAAAAAAAAAAAAAAGGAAAUUAGAAACAGAAGAGCAAAAUCACCAGAGGGACUGGAGAUGUAGUAUUUAAAAUUACGUCAGUCACGAUUCCACCAUCUUGAAAAAAAUGGCUGUGUAAAUGGAAAUAACGUUGAUGAUCACAGAGACUUAGUUUCCAGGAAAACGUCUUUAUCUCCGCAGCUUCCAAACUGUACUUCAUAAAUAAACAACCUGAGGCGACACAAACAAGAGACACUUGAGAGAUUUCUGAAAGUGCAGACACUUCCCCAACCAUUAUCACCCUGACAGGGUGAGAUUUGGAAAAACUCCAUCAAAAUGGAAACUUAACUGCGACUUGCUUUUUCAUCACAGACGGUCCUCACCGUUUGAGAAGUGCAGCAGGCAGCAGUUUUAUAACAAACACAGUCAGCUCCGGGACGUCGGGCUUCGGGAACGAGGAGCUGUUUGUUGUGGGAACUGUAAAACAGUGAUGAACGCUGCCGAGGCUAUGUUGACAACGUUCUUAGGCACGCAACGAGCAGAGAGUGUGUUGGAAGUCUAUCGCUGACAGCCUCGCCGGUUCCCUUCAUUUAAGCAACAAGAACAAGAACGAUUCUAGCACAAUUCCUCUUUCCCUUUGUCACACUUGAGGUAAUAAAGCAAAAGG